rnacentral:rRNA from 1 species
UACGGGGGGGGGCAAGCGUUGUUCGGAAUUACUGGGCGUAAAGGGUUCGUAGGUGGCUUGCUAAGUCAGACGUGAAAUCCCUCAGCUUAACCGGGGAACUGCGUCUGAUACUGGAUGGCUUGAGUUCGGGAGAGGGAUGCGGAAUUCCAGGUGUAGCGGUGAAAUGCGUAGAUAUCUGGAGGAACACCGGUGGCGAAGGCGGCAUCCUGGACCGAUACUGACGCUGAGGAGCGAAAGCCAGGGGAGCAAACGGG